rnacentral:rRNA from 1 species
GAUGAACGCUAGCAGGGGGCCUAACACAUGCAAGUCGAACGGUACUUCGGUACAGUGGCAGACGGGUGCGUAACACGUACUUACUUACCUUGGAGUGGGGGACAACAUCGGAAACGGUGCUAAUCCGCCAUAAUCCCUACGGGGGAAAGAUUUAUCGCUCUAAGAGAGGGGUGCGGCCUACUAGAUAGUUGGUGAGGUAAAAGCUCACCAAGUCGAUGAUGGGUAGCUGGUCUGAGAGGACGAUCAGCCACAAUGGAACUGAGACACGGUCCAUACCCCUACGGGGGGCAGCAGUGGGGAAUAUUGCACAAUGGACGAAAGUCUGAUGCAGCCACCCUGCGUGGAGGACGAAGCAUUACGGUGUGUAAACUCCUUUUCUGGAGGAAGACGACUGACGGUACUCCAGGAAUAAGCGACGGCUAACUACG